UAUUCAUGUCCGUCUACUCUUGCCUUGCCUUGCCUUGUGUUCGUGUCAUAUUUAUGUUGUUUGGAUUAUGUUUGGUUUUGACCCCUGCCUGGACUGUUUACCCUUUUGGAUUAUCCCUAAAUAAACGACUUACCUGCAAUUGGUUCUAUCACCGUGUGUCAUUGGAUCCGUGCCGUGACAGAAGGACUCCGUCAACACGAGAACCAGCGGUAUGUCUGCCCAUAUCUCAUCCCCAGCCACAGAGCGGGAGAGAGGCGGUUUUGAGGGAACUCGCCUGGUGAUUUUUCGGGGGACCAGGGGAGGUCGCCGAGGAGGGAGUGGCCGAGAGGAGAUUCAGCAUCGCUCUCAACCAUGGCCCCCCUUUGACCCGGGGCUCCUGGGGAAUGGGUCAGAGCCACCGUCUCACCAUGGCGAGCGGAGAGGUGAGAGGAAGCACACGCCCGCCAUGGUGGCGUCACUGCCCAUGAUGGCCAUCAGCUCAGAGCCUACGCCCAAGAUGGCCGCUGACUCAUUUUUGGAGUAUUUCUCCAGGCUGUCACAGACCCUGGAGGUUCCCAAGACUGGUCACAUCAAAGCUGCUGAGCCAGCACCACAACACAAGAUGGCCGCCAGCCCAGCGCCACAGCACAAGAUGGCCGCCAGCCCUGCGCCACAGCACAAGAUGGCCGCCAGCCCUGCGCCACAGCG
ensembl:lncRNA